UAGGGAAUAUUGGACAAUGGGUGCAAGCCUGAUCCAGCCAUGCCGCGUGCAGGAAGAAGGCUUUCUGAGUUGUAAACUGCUUUUGCCAGGGGAUAAAAUACGGAUGCGUCCGGAAUUGAAGGUACCUGGUGAAUAAGCCACGGCUAACUACGUGCCAGCAGCCGCGGUAAUACGUAGGUGGCAAGCGUUGUCCGGAUUUAUUGGGUUUAAAGGUGCGUAGGCGGUUCUCUAAGUCAGUGGUGAAAUACGGCAGCUCAACUGUCGAGGUGCCAUUGAUACUGGAGGACUUGAGUACUGAUGAGGUAGGCGGAAUGGACGGUGUAGCGGUGAAAUGCUUAGAUAUCGUCCAGAACACCGAUAGCGAAGGCAGCUUACUAAGGAGUAACUGACGCUGAGGCACGAAAGUGUGGGGAUCAAACAGGAUUAGAUACCCUGGUAGUCCACACUGUAAACGAUGAUUACUCGAUGUUGGCGAUAUACAGCC
rnacentral:rRNA from 1 species